rnacentral:rRNA from 1 species
UACGGAGGGGGCUAGCGUUGUUCGGAAUUACUGGGCGUAAAGCGCGCGUAGGCGGAUCCGCCAGUCUGACGUGAAAUCUCCACCGCUCACCGGGGAGGGGCCGUUGGAUACUACGGAUCUGGAGUUCGGCAGAGGACCAUGGAAUUUCGGGUGUAGCGGUGGAAUGCGUAGAUAUCCGAAAGAACACCGGUGGCGAAGGCGGUGGUCUGGGCCUGAACUGACGCUGAGGAGCGAAAGCCAGGGGAGCAAACGGG